AGGACGAACGCUGGCGGCGUGCUUAACACAUGCAAGUCGAACGGUAAGGCCUUCGGGGUACACGAGUGGCGAACGGGUGAGUAACACGUGGGUGAUCUGCCCUGCACUUCGGGAUAAGCCUGGGAAACUGGGUCUAAUACCGGAUAGGACUCCUGGCUUCAUGGUUGGGGGUGUAAAGCUUUUGCGGUGUGGGAUGGGCCCGCGGCCUAUCAGCUUGUUGGUGGGGUAAUGGCCUACCAAGGCGACGACGGGUAGCCGGCCUGAGAGGGUGACCGGCCACACUGGGACUGAGAUACGGCCCAGACUCCUACGGGAGGCAGCAGUGGGGAAUAUUGCACAAUGGGCGCAAGCCUGAUGCAGCGACGCCGCGUGAGGGAUGACGGCCUUCGGGUUGUAAACCUCUUUCAAUAGGGACGAAGCGCAAGUGACGGUACCUAUAGAAGAAGGACCGGCCAACUACGUG
rnacentral:rRNA from 1 species